rnacentral:lncRNA from 1 species
AGCUCACAGCAUCCUCCCUCCUUCUGAAAAACAAACCCAACUCAGCAUGUAAGGUCUCCAGACUCCCUUCCUCAUUUUCCCCUCUGCCCUUGCUCCCCAAGUGCCAACAGCCUGUGAGGGCACGGUGCUCACACGGGUAAAUGCCCACCACCCAACUCUUACAGGGCAGAGGGACCCGCCCUAGUGCACCCGGUGUUCCGGAGAGACUGGUCUCCUCUCCGUCCUUAUUCCCUCCCGCUCCCCCUUCAGAUCUGUGAAAGUAAAAAAAAAAGUAAAACGAAGUAGUGCCAGGUUGGCAGCAGCAUGACACAAUGCCCAAGAAAGCACAAUUCUCUGGAGGAACAAAUUAAGUUCAAUCAAAUAUUAUCCCUCCAUUAAAAAUGAACAAAUAAAGAGGGAAAUAAAUGAACAUGGGUGGAAUCAGGAGAAACAACACACCACAGAAUACAUCCCGAAGGGCUCCAGCUACCGGAACCACUGGGGACAAAAUGACCCCGUAAAAAAUGUUUAAAGGAAAAGAUGGAAUUAGAAAAGGAGAAAGAAACACAGCACCAGGAAGAUUUGAAAAAUGACUCAUAUGAGAAUCUUAGAAUGGAAAUAUUAUUAAAAUUAAAAACAAUAUUAUUAAAUAUUAUUAUUAUUAAAAUUAAAAUAUUAUUAAAUAUUAUUAAAAUUAAAAACAAUAAGCUGGCCAAACAGAAGAUUAGAUACAUUGAGAAAAGAAGCCACAAUCGGGGAGAAGACAGAGCCAAGGAAAUUACCCGCCAUUAAGCACAUAGAGGCAUGAAACAGAAAAAAAUGAAAGCAAAGAGAGAGGGAAGAUAGAAUGAGACGGUCUAACAUGUGUCCAAUUCGAAAGGAAAUAAUAGAGAAAAUGUAAGGACAUAGCCGCUGAGAUGCUGUAAAAUUCAUGAGACAAUACACAGAUAAGAAGCGCAUAGAUAAAUGAAGAGAAAUCUCCAUCUAGACAUACUGUAGUAAAACCACAAAACAAGAAAGACAGAGAUGAUCCCAAAAGCAGCCAGAGAAGAAGGACAUCUUGGUUACAAGUCAUGACGAUUAGACCAAUAGCCAACUUGCCUAGAACUACAUAGGAAGCCAGGAGAGGGCUGGAAAAUCUCUGCUGAGACAAAAUAACCACCAGCCUAGAAGGACCUCACCAGUAAACUGUCAAGAAAACAGGAGAAAUGACCAGACAGACGGAGAUGACCACCAAAAGGACCUGCACUCGAGGAAGGACAACCUAAGAAGAAAAGAUGAGUCUGGAAAGGCCUGUGAGUAAAGAAAUUGGUAAACAGGGAAGUACGUAUGAACACUAAUUGUGUAAAAUCAUAACAAUUUCUAAUUUUUAGGGUAAAAAAUGGCAUUAAGACAUUCAACAAUAGCUUAGAAGUAAGGGUAGGGGGAUCUGAGUUAAGGAGGUCCAAUGUCCUCACAUUGACAGGAAAGGAAUUAAGAUACGAUUAAAUUUGUACUUUGGUAAGUUAAGCAUACAUGUUAAAGUUUCAAGGACAAAUACUAAAAAAAAGGUAGAAAUUGAGGGUACAACUUCCCAGCCAGGAAAGAGGGGGAAAUGGAAUAAGAAAAGCAAGCAAGCAAGCAAAGAAAGACAACCCAUUCAAAAAAAGGUAAGAAAGGAGAGAAAAAGGAGCUGUGUUUAAAUGGUGAAAUUAAGGAGUCACCAGGAGGACGGCGCUGACUGGGGCAUCUGAAGCAGGGUGUCCCUUCCCUCCCGCACCUCGUGAGCACCCACCCUUCUGCCCACCCCCCCAGCCAGGCUGGCUCCAAGCUGAGCGCCCCCAGGCAGGUGAGAGCCAAGGGCGGGCAGCCAGGGGGCCUGGGCUCUAGACGCUGCUUCCCAGAGAGGAGGGAGCCUCUGCCCUUUGGCUUCCACAUCGCCGCCUUUCAGGAUCUCCUGAGCAGCUCUGGCUCAGUCCGAUUCCCUCUGCCAGAUGCCUUGCAAAGUCUUUGUCUGGUGGCCAUGCAGUCAAGUGAAAUGUAUGUUCACAGCUGGGGCUCCCGCCCCACCUAAGGUUGGAUGGAGUGGAUGCGCCUGGAGAGAGCCAGCAGCCCCACGCUCAUCCCUGUCCCGCCAUUUGUUGCUGUGCAAACUCGGCCCCUGGGCAUCAUCUCUGCGUAAUUGUCCUCAUCUGUGCCAGUGAGGAGGAUGGACCAGACAAUCGUCCAGGUCCUCCAUCGCUCUAAUAUCCCUUGGUUAUGCUCCUCCUUAAAUGCGCAUCAGAGACAUUCAGUUGUGAGCUUGACUUUCUAAUAAUAUUGAACUCUCCUCUCUGUGCAUAGCCCUCAUAAUCUGCUUACAUAACAUGUUCCUUUGCUCACAAAACACAACAGCAAUAGUUCCUCUGACGGCCUUGUAUUCAGUUACUGCCCUUCUUAAUAUCAUUUUUCUAGGACCUCAAGUGAGGAGAGAUUUAAAAAAUUAAAAAUUAAAAAAGUGUAAAACCCUCAGUGACUCGGUUUCACUUUGAAAUGUCUCCUUUUGCCUUUUCUCCUGUGUUCAGGUGCAUCAGGCCUGUCUAGUUGGCUCGGAUCUUAAGUCCUCCACUCAGGGACCUAAUGGACCUUUAUCCACCUGGAUUUAGAAGCCAGCCCCUCCUGACAGCGCACUAGUAAGCGUUCCAAAUGACCUUUCAGUAUCAAAAUUAAAUAGUCGUUGUCCACCACCAUCCAGCUUGAUUUACGUGAUGCUUUUGACGUGAUUAAUCAUAGCGUCGCUCCGCUAACCAUCCUCAUUAAACUUUCAAGGUUCCGGACUCCAGUCUCUGGCAUGUUUCAUCCUGUCCACACCUUCACCUCAGACAGGAUGAGUGCCCGUCAUGCUCAAGCAGAGGGCACCCCAAAGCCUAAUGCUCCCAGUUAUUCUCCUUGCUUGUUAUCUCUCAGGCUCAAAUCCAUCCACCUGUUUCACCAGAACAAGAGGGGAGCAAUGGAGCAGCAUCAUCCUUGACUGAGCGCUCAGCUCCUUGCCCAGCCGUCCUCCUUGUGUGGGAGCAUUGCACUCAGGUGGAUGGUCCAGAUGCAUCCUGGGUUUCUCCUCCAAAUCUGCAAGAGCAUUCUCUCUCUAAAGGUCUUGGGGGUGUUCAUGGAAUUCUCACCACAUUCUAACCACUGGCCUGUGUAAUCUCAGUCAAACCACUCAUGCUCUAUGCACCCGGGACCAUCCAGAUAACCCUUGCCACUUGGCAUUUCUGGUGAUACUGCCAGGAGGGUUGGUAUUCAGCUGGUUGGCACCAGUAAGUCCUAAUGAGCGAUUUACAAUCUACGGCCAUCCUCACUGUCCUGUGCCUAUGACACACCAGCUGUGAAAUGUAUUACAUAUGACCUGGAGGAGACCGAGGCUCUGAGUUGCGUGGGAAGAGGGGUAGGAUGCAAGGUGUCCAUUUUGCUGGUGCAGACCAUGGCAGGGGUGGGUGGUCCUGGAGUCAGAGGGGAGCAGCAACUUCCUGGUCAGGUCAAGACAGCAGCUGCUGGCAGCCGUGUCCUAAAAUGUGGUCUGGAGGGCUGUUCUGGAAGCCUGUAGACAACUUAGACAAAAUGGACACGUUUCUAGAAAGACACAAACUACUGAAACUGACUCAAGAAGAAAUAGAAAAUCUGAAUAGACCUAGAAUAAGCAAAGAGAUUGAACUUGUAGUUUUAAAACUAUCUGUAAGAAAAGUCCUGAUCUAGGUGGCUUCACUGGUGACU